AUUGAACGCUGGCGGCAUGCCUUACACAUGCAAGUCGAACGGUAACAGGUCUUCGGAUGCUGACGAGUGGCGAACGGGUGAGUAAUACAUCGGAACGUGCCUAGUAGUGGGGGAUAACUACUCGAAAGAGUGGCUAAUACCGCAUGAGAUCUACGGAUGAAAGCAGGAGAUCGCAAGACCUUGUGCUACUAGAGCGGCCGAUGGCAGAUUAGGUAGUUGGUGGGAUAAAAGCUUACCAAGCCGACGAUCUGUAGCUGGUCUGAGAGGACGAUCAGCCACACUGGGACGGAGACACGGCCCAGACUCCUACGGGAGGCAGGAGUGGGGAAUUUUGGACAAUGGGCGAAAGCCUGAUUCAGCAAUGCCGCGUGCAGGACGAAGGCCUUCGGGUUGUAAACUGCUUUUGUACGGAACGAAAAGCCCCGGGUUAAUACCCUGGGGUCAUGACGGUACCGUAAGAAUAAGCACCGGCUAACUACGUGCCAGCCGCCGCCGUAA
rnacentral:rRNA from 1 species